rnacentral:rRNA from 1 species
UACGUAGGGUGCGAGCGUUAAUCGGAAUUACUGGGCGUAAAGGGCGCGUAGGCGGCGAUUCAAGUGACGGGUGAAAUCCCUCGGCUUAACCGAGGAACUGCCUGUCAGACUGGGUUGCUUGAGACCGGGAGAGGCGAGUGGAAUUCCCAGUGUAGCGGUGAAAUGCGUAGAUAUUGGGAGGAACACCAGUGGCGAAGGCGGCUCGCUGGACCGGAACUGACGCUGAGGCGCGAAAGCGUGGGGAGCAAACAGG